rnacentral:rRNA from 1 species
UCCUACGGGGCGCAGCAGUGGGGAAUAUUGGGCAGUGGGCGCAAGCCUGACCCAGCAACGCCGCGUGAAGGAAGAAGGCUUUCGGGUUGUAAACUUCUUUUAUGAGGGACGAAACAAAUGACGGUACCUCAUGAAUAAGCCACGGCUAACUACGUGCCAGCAGCCGCGGUAAUACGUAGGUGGCAAGCGUUGUCCGGAAUUACUGGGUGUAAAGGGAGCGCAGGCGGGAAGCCAAGUCAGCUGUGAAAACUACGGGCUUAACUUGUAGACUGCAGUUGAAACUGGUUUUCUUGAGUGAAGUAGAG